rnacentral:rRNA from 1 species
GACGAACGCUGGCGGCGUGCCUAAUACAUGCAAGUCAACUGAAGCAAUUGUAGCAAUACGGUUGUGGAGGUGGCGCACGGGUGAGUAACACGUAGGUAACCUGCCUUCAGGUCUUACAUAACCCCGAGAAAUCGGGGCUAAUAGAAGAUUAUGCAGCGGCUCGGCAUCGAGACAGUUGUUAAAGCUUCGGCGCCUGAAGAUGGGCCUGCGUCCCAUUAGGUAGUUGGCGGGGUAACGGCCCACCAAGCCUUCGAUGGGUAGCUGGUCUGAGAGGAUGAUCAGCCACACUGGAACUGAGAUACGGUCCAGACUCCUACGGGAGGCUG